GGUGGAGGAAGGGGAGCAGACAUCAUAUCUCUUCAGCCCCUCGGUGACCAGACGGUGGGAAGAUGAGGUUGUCCCGGUAGGAAGCGGCGGAAAGUAAUUGUGACAAACCUUUAGGGUGCUGCUCUAGAGCUAACCGAGGAUCCACGAUACACUUAAGAGAACCGCUUACUUUUUCCCUCGCUUGUAGCAUUCUACUUUUAUCGUGGUAAAGUUACAUCAAUACAACGAAAGGCGUAAAGCAUGGAGGACAUGGACUUCGAGAGGCGCCGGGAGCUCAGACGGCAGAAGCGUGAGGAGAUGCGCCUGGAAGCUGAACGCCUGGCGAAGAACGAUGAAGACGAGGAGGAGGCGGCGAGGGAGAGGAGGCGCAGGGCGCGCCAGGACCGGAUGAAGGGCAGGGACGGGGAGGAGCCCUGUGGACAGACUGACGGCGGGACCAACAGCCACAGCGUGACGGAGACGGUGUCUGUGAGCAGCUCCUACAGUGGGGGAGGAGGAGGAGGAGGAGGAGGAGGAGGAGGAGAAGGAGGAGACGAGGAGGAGCAGGCGCUGCUAGAGCGCAUGGCCAAGAGGGAGGAGCGUCGGCAGAAGCGCAUGAUGGAGGCGCUGGAGCGCCAGCGGGAGCUGGACGGCACCGGGUCCGGGAUGGACGCCCCCGGCAACGGUGGGGGAGGCGACGCAGCGGGGAAGAACGACGAAGAGGCGGGGCAGCCCUCCUGGCGCGGGGGUCACCGUGACGACGGGGAGGAGGAGGAGGAGGAGCAGCAGAAGCCGGUGAUGUAUGGCAGCAGCAGCAGAAGGAGGGAGGAAGAGGAGGAGGAGGAGGAGGUGGAGAAGUAUGAGGAAGAGGAGGUGGUGGAGGCGGAGGUGGAGCUUGGAGGAGAAGAGGAGAUGGAGCAGAGACGGGAGGAGGAGGAGGAGGAGAAGCCCAGGAGGUCUAGCAUCAGGGAACAGGUGAAUGAGAGGGGCGGGGCCAGAGAGGAGAGGGGGAGUCAGAACGGUGGCGUUCACCAGGAAGCUCCUCCCAAGCAACUUAGGAAACCCGAGAGGAUCCCGAGCCGCAGCUCCCUCCGUUCCCCGGAGGCGUCCGCGGUUGCCGCCGACAACCAGGACGAGGACGCCGACGCCCGCCUCGCGGAGCGGAAGCUGGAGGAGCUGAAGCGUCGCCGCGACGACACGGAGAGCAAGGAGUUUGAGCGGCUGCGGCAGAAGCAGCAGGAGGCGGACGCCCAGCUGGAGGGGCUGAAGAGCAAGAGGGAGGAGAGGAGGAAGGUGCUGGAGGAGGAGGAGCACCAGAGGAAGCAGGAGGAGGGCGACCGGAAGGCCAGGGAGGAGGAGGAGAAGAGGAGGAUGAAGGAGGAGAUCGAGAGAAGAAGAGCGGAGGCCGCAGAGAAGAGACAGAAGGGGGAGGAGGGGCUGGAUGGAGAGGGGAAGGCGUUCAAGUGUGUGAGCCCUAGAGGCUCCUCCCUCAAGAUCGAGGAGAGAACAGAGUUCCUCAACAAGUCGGCACAGAGAAGCUCGGUGAAACUGCCUCACUCUCCUGUUGUCUCCAAGAUUGACAACCGGCUGGAGCAGUACACUUCAGCUGCCCAGAGGGAGAACAGGGAGUCUCGCUCGCCCCGUUCGGGGGCCUCUGACCUGCCCCUGGUCACCGAUGGCGUCCGCAGCAUCAAGAGCAUGUGGGAGAAGGGCAACGCCUUCUCCUCGCCUGGAGGGGGCGCCGGGGCGUUCAAGGAAACAGCUGUGGUGAAGAUAGGUGUGGCGGGACGCAUCAACGACUGGCUCAACAAAACCCCCGAGAGCGGCAAAACGGCGGGAGGAGGGAGGCCGGUGGACCUGAAGCCUGUUGACGUCACCAACAAGAGAAGUCUAUGGGAAAACAAAGGCACCACCCCCACCAAGAACUCCUUUAGCUAGUUUUCAUCGUCGUUAAAUCUGGAAGAAGCCCCGAGAGAUGACAGGCAGAGGGGAGGCAAAAUCAGUCGCAAAUGGUAUGGGACACUAAUAUCUCCAGAGGCUGCUGCAGCAACAACCAGGGACCAAGACGAUCUAAUCCAAGCCUCUUCCUUUAGACCCAGUCUUAUGUAUCCAGUAAAGACACACCCACAAGACGACACGCCCACCAACCAGGGGGGCGGAGGGGAA